GAUCUGAUUUUAGAAUUGAAUACGGAAAUCAAUGAAGAGUUCUAAGAGACUAUUGAGGAAAGUGUCAGGAAGAUAAUGAUGAAAACAGGAAAGUGAC
rnacentral:rRNA from 1 species